UACGUAGGGGGCAAGCGUUGUCCGGAAUUAUUGGGCGUAAAGCGCGCGCAGGCGGUUCUUUAAGUCUGAUGUGAAAUCUUGCGGCUUAACCGCAAGCGGUCAUUGGAAACUGGGGAACUUGAGUACAGAAGAGGAGAGCGGAAUUCCACGUGUAGCGGUGAAAUGCGUAGAUAUGUGGAGGAACACCAGUGGCGAAGGCGGCUCUCUGGUCUGUAACUGACGCUGAGGCGCGAAAGCGUGGGGAGCGAACAGGAUUAGAAACCCCCGUAGUCC
rnacentral:rRNA from 1 species